GCCUCCAUAGCACAGUGGUAGUGCGUUUGCUUCGUGAGCGAAAGGUCGCGAGUUCAAUCCUCGCCUGGGGCU
rnacentral:tRNA from 1 species